rnacentral:lncRNA from 11 species
GAGACAUUGAAUCCACCCACCCAAACCUCUCCUCUGAAGACCUGAUUGGUACUAUUCCCAGUUAUCUAAUGACAAGAAUCCAUAUCUCCGCUCCAGAAGCCAGAUCAGAGAAUGAAGAAUCAAGCUUGGAGGGAGAAGAUAUGCAAAUCUCAGCCAGCUUCCCUUCACAUAGAGCUAAGGAAUGUGAAAAUGCACCACAGGCUAAUUGGAUUCAAAAUGUGUUUAAUAAUACAUCUAUGGUCACCGAGGAGGAUGUGUCUCGCUUGUGGCAGUCAAGGAGGUUCAGCAGGUCAACAAUGGCUGCAGGAAAUCAUCAGGUCUUUUUUUGCAGCUACAGCAAUAUGAUGAAAUACCUAUAUUUCAGCAUUGCAGACACAUCUAAUAUCUUCCAGGUCCUCUUGUGA